UGGGGAAUUUUGCACAAUGGGGGAAACCCUGAUGCAGCGACGCCGCGUGAUUUAGAAGGCCUUCGGGUUGUAAAAAUCUUUUCUAUGGGAAGAAAAUGACAGUACCAUAGGAAUAAGGACCGGCUAAUUACGUGCCAGCAGCCGCGGUAAUACGUAAGGUCCGAGCGUUGAACGGAAUCAUUGGGCGUAAAGGGUACGUAGGCGGGUAAGCAAGUUAGAAGUGAAAUCCUAUAGCUCAACUAUAGUAAGCUUUUAAAACUGCUCAUCUUGAGGUAUGGAAGGGAAAGUGGAAUUCCUAGUGUAGCGGUGAAAUGCGCAGAUAUUAGGGGGAGUACCGGUGGCGAAGGCGACUUUCUGGCCAUAACCUGACGCUGAGGUACGAAAGCGUGGGUAGCAAACAGG
rnacentral:rRNA from 1 species